AUCUUUUAAUAAAAUAAAAAUGAUGAUUUUUAUUUAUUUAUUACCCUUAUUAGGAGGCAAAGUUAUCACAUGGAAGCUCUUCUUUAGAAUUCAGUCCCCAGUGACCCCACUGUUGAAAGUAGCAUUUUUCAGCAAACUGGAAAGUGCAUUUGCUGCGUCUCACCUGUUGUCCAACAGCAGAGGGUGGGAGCAAAGGCUGGGCAACCACAUUAAGCCAGACUUCACAUUCGGUGUCAGUGUUGGAGCAGGAAGCGCCACUGAGCAGUUCAGCAACAGUAGUCUAACCUGUAGCUGAGUAAUUCUUCAGGUCUGAGUAGUGCUUGGUAAGAUCUCCCAACUGUUGUCAGCUGGAAGUUCCAUGUCUAGGAAGAUAAGGAGGUGACAACUUAUGUCGCACUUCUGGUAACUUUUGCAAGGAAGAAAACACUGCUGUAACUUCUUGUUUGGGUAAGGAGCUGUUAUCUGUGUUAUAACCAUUUCAUGCUG
rnacentral:lncRNA from 1 species